rnacentral:tRNA from 1 species
GAGGGUAUAGCUCAGUGGUAGAGCGUGUGCUUCGUAUGCACGAGGUCCUGGGCUCAAUCCCUAGUACUCCA